CAGUGGGGAAUAUUGGACAAUGGGGGCAACCCUGAUCCAGCCAUGCCGCGUGUGUGAAGAAGGCCUUAGGGUUGUAAAGCACUUUCAAUUGGGAAGAAAGGUUAGCCGUUAAUAGCGUCUAGCUGUGACAUUACCUUUAGAAGAAGCACCGGCUAACUCCGUGCCAGCAGCCGCGGUAAUACGGAGGGUCCGAGCGUUAUCCGGAAUUAUUGGGUUUAAAGGGUCCGUAGGCGGGCCGGUAAGUCAGUGGUGAAAGUCUGUAGCUCAACUAUAGAAUUGCCUUUGAUACUGCCGGUCUUGAGUUAUGGUGAAGUUGCCGGAAUAUGUGGUGUAGCGGUGAAAUGCAUAGAUAUCACAUAGAACACCGAUUGCGAAGGCAGGUGACUAACCAUAUACUGACGCUGAUGGACGAAAGCGUGGGGAGCGAACAGGAUUAGAUACCCUGGUAGUCCACGCCGUAAACGAUGGAUACUAGCUGUCCGGGUCCUUGAGACCUGGGCGGCCAAGCGAAAGUGAUAAGUAUCCCACCUGGGGAGUACGUUCGCAAGAAUGAAACUCAAAGGAAUUGACGGG
rnacentral:rRNA from 1 species